UUCUCUACUAUUUAGUAGGGGAAAAGCAGUAGGCGAGCGAAUAAGUAUGUCAGAAGCAAAAAGAGUAGGCGAAAAUUACCUGGGUGACGUACUAAUUCUCGCGAGAUUCGGCCGUGCGCCUUCUUAAAGUGCGUCCGAAACCGCCUACUUACCUACUAUAUAAUAGGGGGAAAGCAGUAGGCGAGCGAAUAAGUAUGCCAGAAACCAAAGUAAUCAUAAAUAAGUAGUCGAGAAGUUCCCGGAUGGCCUACUGCUUCCGCCCAGAUUCUGAAGUGUUCCUCGAUGGAUACUUUUCUAUCCCAGGAGGCCACGGGAGAGGAUACGUCAUAUCAAACACGGAGGAGAAAAGCGACGCGGAUGCUGUCAAAUAGCUUUGUGUUGGAGCAGGACCUGCAAGGAAAGAUGACAGUGCCAUUUGUGAAAGAAAAAAAAAAGGAAAACCUGAAACAAAAAUAUAAAGUAAGAUAAUUUUGUUACUUCUAAUACAGAAAUCAGAUGACAUUGUGCUGCUAAAAUGACUGCUUUUGUAUUAUGAUUGUGUAUUUUUGUAGGAUGUGAAUGUCCUCAGAUGGGUGUGAGCACUGAGGAUGGAGAGACACAGCAGAUCCUGGGAAUGGUUCAGUGUCAUGGAUGAGACUCUCCAUCACUCCUCCUGCCCUUACUGCCUCAUCUGACCUGAUGUUGAUGUGAUUUCUUCAUCCUCAGGAUGAUCCCGUUGGAGCAACCUGGAGUAAAGUGUCUGGAUCAAGCACACACUGGUGGAGACGCUGCAGAGAUCAAACCAGCAACCUUCUGCUGACCAGCUCAGUGGUUUAGGCCACCACACCACAAAAUCAUGCUGAUGGAGAGCACAUGAAUGUUUGCAGCAGACACAGCAGAGCCAGAUUGUCCCGCACAUCUUCUCCCACUCUUGCUUCAAGCUUGUGGGGUUCAGAGGAUCAUCACCAUGGUCUUCCUCAUCCUCUGGAUCAACGAUGUCCCCAUUGAGAAGAGCAGCAGUGAGGGACAUGAUGAUGAAGUUGUUCAUCAGCU